ensembl:lncRNA
AAUGUUCAUUCAUUCAUUUAUUUUAAAACACAAGUAUCUUGCCAUUAAAUACUCCCUUGCAGAACAAUCUUUGGGUGCUUUAAAACUGAUUUUACGGUGUCACAAAAUUAUGUGCCUAAAAUCACAGAACAUCAGAUUUAUUCGUCCCAUUACUUUAAGUCCCAACGCUCUGGGGUGCCUGGGUGGCUCAGUCAAGCAUCCCACUCUUGAUUUCAGCUCAGGUCACAUCAUGGUUUGUGGGUCUGAGCCCUGUGUCAGGUUCUGUGCUGAUGGUGCAGAGCCUGCUUGGGAUUCACUCUCGCUCUUUCUCUCUCGCUCUCUCUCUGCCUUCUCGCUCGCUCUAUCUGCCUUCUCUCUCUCCCUCUCUCUGCCUUCUCUCUCUCGCUCGCUCUAUCUCUGCCUUCUCACUCUCGCUCGCUCUCUCUCUGCCUUCUCGCUCUCUCUCGCUCUCUCUGCCUUCUCUCUCGCUCUCUCUCUGCUUCUCGCUCUCUGCCUUCUCGCUCGCUCUAUCUCUGCCUUCUCUCUGCCUUCUCGCUCUUGCUCUGCCUUCUCUCUCUCUCUCUCUCUGGCCUUCUCUCUCUCUCACUCUCUCUGCCUUCUCUCUCUCCUCUCUCUGCCUUCUCUCUCUCUCUCCCUCUGCCUUCUCGCUCUCGCUCUCUCUCUGCCUUCUCACUCUCGCUCGCUCUAUCUCUGCCUUCUCUCUCGCUCUCUCUCACUCUCUCUCUGCCCUCUCGCUCACUCUCUCUCUCUGGCCUUCUCGCUCUCGCUCGCUCUGCCUUCUUGCUCUCGCUCUCUCUGCCCUCUCGCUCUCGCUCGCUCUCUGGGCCCUCUCGCUCGCUCUCUCUCCCUCUCUCUGCCUUCUCUCUCCUCUCCCUCUCUCUGCCUUCUCGCUCACUCUCUCUCUGCCUUCUCGCUCUCGCUCGCUCUGCCUUCUCUCUGCCUUCCUCGCUCGCUCUAUCUCUGCCUUCUCGCUCUCACUCGCUCUAUCUGCCUUCUCACUCUCGCUCGCUCUGCCUUCUCGCUCUCGCUCGCUCUGCCUUCUUGCUCUCUCUCUGCCUUCUCUCUCUCCUCUCUCUCUCUCUCUCUGGCCCUCUCGCUCGCUCUCUCUUGCUCUGCCCUCUUGCUCGCUCUCUCUCACUCACUCUUCCUUCUCGCUCUCUCUCACUCUCUCUGCCUUCUCGCUCUCUGCCUUCUCGCUCUCACUCGCUCUAUUUCUGCCUUCUUCUCUCUCGCUGUCUCUGCCUUCCUCGCUCUCUCGCUCUCUGCCUUCUCUCUCUCUGCCUUCUCACUCUCGCUCGCUCUAUCUCUGCCUUCUCGCUCUCGCUCGCUCUCUCUCUGCCUUCUCGCUCUCUCUCUGCCUUCUCUCUCUCUCUGCCUUCUCUCUCCUCUCUCUGCCUUCUCUCUCUCUCUCUGCCUUCUCGCUCUCUCUCUGCCUUCUGUCUCUCUCUGCCUUCUCUCGCUCUCUCUCUGCCUUCUCGCUCUAUCUCUCUGCCUUCUCACUCUCUCUCUCUCAAAAUAAAAAAAAAAAAAAACAAAAAAACUUUUAAGUCCCAAAGCUCUUUAUCCAUCUCUGAAAUCUAACAUUAUCGCAGAUGCUGCUACUCCCCUGCCAGGCUGCCUUAUCACCUACACAUCCCCUUGACUAUCUCCCUCACUUCAUUCACAUCUGGGCUCAAAGUCACAAAUUCUGAAAGGCCUGCCUUGGUCAGCCUACGUAAAACCACCCACACACACGCCAGUCACUCUCGAUCCCUUAUCGUGCUUCAUUUUUCUCCAUAGGAAAAACACAUAGCUAUUAUACUGUGUAUUUCCUUGUUUACUGUCCGGUUUCCCCAACCAGAAAGUCAGCUGUAGAAGAACAGAGACUUUGUCUUUGACUUGAUGUAUAC